GGAAGAAAACGUAAAUAACAUAUAUUCGAGACAUCACCAGCCAGAUGGUAAAAGUGCAAUUACAGAUUUUUCUAUUCAAAUUGUACGCCAAAAACAACUGAUAAACCACAGAACAGUUAAAAAACAACAAAUCAACUCAUUAUCCCUGGAGAUUGGAUCCACCUCAUCUCCUAGACCUUUGCUUCGCCUUCGAGUCAAAAUGGUGAGCUCUAAGCUUUUUCUUUUUCGUAAAAGUUGUCUGUCCACCAGAACCUUCUCUAAAUGGCAUACCCAUGAGAGCCAACAAUCUGUGUGCCUCUUUAUCUGUCUCAGCUGUUGUUGUUAUGCAAACAUCCAUCCCUCUUGGCUUACCAAGAGCAUCAUAACUUAACUCUGGGAAGACACUCUGUUCACGAAAGCCAAUGCUAUAAUUUCCAUGACCAUCAAAGCUAUUGGGGUUUACGCCUUGAAAGUCCCUCGUUCGAGGAAGCCCCAAAUUAAUUAACCGGUCAAGGAACGAAUACAUUACAUUCCCUCGAAGUGUAACAGCAAUUCCAAGCGGUUGACCUUCUCUAAUUUUGAAAGUAGCAAUAGCAUUCUUAGCCCUAGUCUUCACAGGCCUUUGCCCUGUAAUUAAGGCCAAAUCAUUCAUUGCUGCAUCCAAACCCUUGGAAUUUUGUGCAGCAUCUCCUAUACCACAAUUUACCACAAUCUUUUCGACCUUCGGAACCUGAAGAAUAUUGGUGUAACUGAAUUCUUCCUUCAACAACGGCACAAUCUUUUCGAGGUAAUUUGUUUUCAGACGAUUAACUUUUUCAGCUUCACUUUUAUCCACUAGUACUGUUGCUGAAGCUUUCACCGUCAAUUUAUUGGACGACCGGACCUUGGUAUUUCCGACCGGCAAUCGAACGGAGUACGCCGGAAACUCAGCAUUGUAGAAAGAGGAGGCCGUGGAGUGUAGAAGAAGAGGAGAAGCCGCCAUUUUCUCUGAGCUUUUUCUCUCUGUGUUGGAAAAUGAACCGUAUCGAUCA
rnacentral:misc_RNA from 1 species